rnacentral:rRNA from 1 species
AUUGAACGCUGGCGGCAUGCCUUACACAUGCAAGUCGAACGGCAGCACGGGUGCUUGCACCUGGUGGCGAGUGGCGAACGGGUGAGUAAUACAUCGGCACAUGUCCUGUAGUGGGGGAUAGCCCGGCGAAAGCCGGAUUAAUACCGCAUACGAUCUACGGAUGAAAGCGGGGGCCCUUCGGGCCUCGCGCUAUAGGGUUGGCCGAUGGCUGAUUAGCUAGUUGGUGGGGUAAAGGCCUACCAAGGCGACGAUCAGUAGCUGGUCUGAGAGGACGACCAGCCACACUGGGACUGAGACACGGCCCAGACUCCUACGGGAGGCAGCAGUGGGGAAUUUUGGACAAUGGGCGAAAGCCUGAUCCAGCAAUGCCGCGUGUGUGAAGAAGGCCUUCGGGUUGUAAAGCACUUUUGUCCGGAAAGAAAUCCUUGGCCCUAAUACGGUCGGGGGAUGACGGUACCGGAAGAAUAAGCACCGGCUAACUACGUG